CAAACCGGAGGAAGGUGGGGAUGACGUCAGGUCCUCAUGGCCCUUAUGGGUAGGGCUACACACGUCAUACAAUGGCCGGUACAGAGGGCUGCCAACCCGCGAGGGGGAGCCAAUCCCAGAAAACCGGUCGUAGUCCGGAUCGUAGUCUGCAACUCGACUGCGUGAAGUCGGAAUCGCUAGUAAUCGCGGAUCAGCUUGCCGCGGUGAAUACGUUCCCGGGUCUUGUACACACCGCCCGUCACACCAUGGGA
rnacentral:rRNA from 1 species